GCGCUGCCUUUGAGCCCCCAGCGCUCCUCAUGGCGUCGGGGGUUAAGCUGCAGCGCCAUAGCAGUUGCUAGCACAUAACUGGGGCCGCCUGCCCAUUGCAGAUGGUCCUUUUAACUGCUAGCUACAGGC